CAGCAGCCACGGGAAUACAGAGGGUGCGAGCGUUAAUCGGAUUUACUGGGCGUAAAGCGUGCGUAGGCGGCUUUUUAAGUCGGAUGUGAAAUCCCUGAGCUUAACUUAGGAAUUGCAUUCGAUACUGGGAAGCUAGAGUAUGGGAGAGGAUGGUAGAAUUCCAGGUGUAGCGGUGAAAUGCGUAGAGAUCUGGAGGAAUACCGAUGGCGAAGGCAGCCAUCUGGCCUAAUACUGACGCUGAGGCACGAAAGCGUGGGGAGCAAACAGGAUUAGAUACCCCCGUAGUCCCUGUCUCUUAUAC
rnacentral:rRNA from 1 species